CUUUGGUGGAGGAUGUUCCUCUGCUUCCCUAACCCUAACCCUGACAUCUGAAAUGAAAUCCUGCCUUCAUUGCACCCUGUUGUUCUUUUGGUCCGGUUUCUUUUCAGGGAAGGCAGUUUUAAAACAAAGAAACCGGUCUGCUCUAAAGGCGAUGAAAAUAGUGGAUUCCAUUUGCUUGAAAGCAAUUUCGGCCAAGGGUUGUUAGUACACUUCGACACGAUCCGUGCAUGGUUCGUCCCUGCCGACG
rnacentral:telomerase_RNA from 1 species